GGGAAGGUAGCUCAGCGGUAGAGUGCAUGCCUUGCAAGCAUGAGGCCCUCCCU
rnacentral:tRNA from 1 species